ensembl:snRNA U1 U1 spliceosomal RNA
AUAUCUACUUGGCAGGGGAGAUACCAUGAUCACAAAGGUGGUUAUCCUGGGGCGAGGAUUAUCCAUUGCACUCCGGAUGUGCUGACCCCUGUGAUUUCCCCAAAUGUGGGAAACUCAACUGCUUAAUUUGCGGUAGUGGGGGACUGCGUUCACGCUUUCCUCUA